UUUAUAUUUUUAUUAGUUUUUAAUAAUUGUAAAUAUGUAAGCCCUAAAAUAAUCAAAGUAUCAGACGUGAAUUCUUUCUCUCCCUCUGUGCGGCUCUGCGUCCCAACCCAAGUGCCCUCUGCAGCAGUCCCACCGUCCCGGCGUCCCCUCUGCAGCAGUCACCGUCCGGCCCGUUCUCCGACGCCGUGCACUGGUCUCCCAGCCUUGAGUCCUCUCUCUGGCAUUUUCUCGAACACCUGGCCCUUAAUCAGAUUCCAACUCCGAUCCUCAUUCAUCGGAAUAAGAAGGCUUUUCAUGAUCAUAAUCCGUAAAAACUCCAAAAUUCCACGCAUUAUAUUUUAUUUUUUAUAUAAUUUGGAAAUUGGUGCGUUUUGUGGUUUAUUUUAUGCUUUGCAGGAGAUUUAGGUUUUAUAGAUGGAAGAGUGCAAUUUUGGAAAUUUUGGGUUAAGAAUGACGCUUUUUAGCAUAGCUCUGUCGCCAGAGCUGAGCUGCGAGCAUAGCUCUGUCGCUAGAGCCGAGCUGCGAGGAUAGUUCUGUCGUCAGAGCUGAGCUGCGAGCAUAGCUCUGUCUCCAGAGCUGAGCUGACUUGCAAAGUUAGAGCUGAAAUUUCCAGAGCAGAACUUCCCUAUGCAUAGCUAAAAUCUUCAGAGCUGAGCUGAAUUCGCCAGAGCUGACUUCCAUCUCUGUCAUGCCAUUCUACAGUUGACUUCCAGCUCUGACUACCUUUCCAGAGCUGACGCACCAGAGUUCGCUUAAGUUCCAGAGCAGAGUUACUCUCGCCAGAGCUAACUUCCAGCUCUGCCAUGAUCGCCAAAGUAAUUUGACAGCGCAGAGCUAAAGAUCGACAGAGUCAACUUAUGCAGAGCUGACUUUUCAACUUUGCACUUUUUCAGAGCUGACUUUCAGCUCUGCACUUACCUUUGCAGAGCUGCAAUUUUCACCAGGAUGGAGAUUACUUGCAGAGCACGCCAGCUGGACUUACCUAUGUCUACACGAUUUUAUUGCCUUUAGAGUCCAGCUUUGCAUGGCAACUUUGAGGAUGAUCAAGCGUGAGUUGAAGUCUAUAAAUAGGGCUUUGUUUUUCAUUGAAAAGGCUCCCUCGUUUUUUGCCCUAAUUUUUGUGUUCUGCCGUGAAGAGUAUUCCAGCGCUGCACUGCACCAAAUUUAGGCGUUUAUUGCUUUCCUAGUUUCUUCAAGUUUUCGAGUUUUUAGUUCUAGUUUGUUUUUAAGUUUGUUUCUUUAGUUUUAAGUUUCGAAUGUGUAAUCACGUGACAAAUUUCAACCUCGUGACGUUCACGGUAUUUCGUAUUUAAAUUCAAUUUAUUUAUGUUUAAUCA